rnacentral:lncRNA from 1 species
UUCGACAUCCAACUCACGUUAUGCAUUUGAUACAUCACUAAGCACAUCCUUCUCUGAAGUAAGUAAUAAUAUAAUUGCUUUAUUCUUUUGAUUGAAUUAAGGAGUACAAAAGUUUUGUAACCAUUUUUUCUCGACGGAUACUUGCUUGGCUUCCCUCACACUACUACUUCCAAUAUUGUGUAUAAGCUCAGAUGGACUUUCAUAUUAAUUUUUUAUUUUAGAAGAAUAUUCAUGUGUACAACGGUAGAGAUCAUAUUCGUAGUUAACAACUGAACAUUAAAUCUUUCGGAGAUAGCAUUUAUGUAGCUUGGUAGACAAUCAAAGAGGUAUUGCGUUAGCAUGCGCAUGUGAGAAAUUC